rnacentral:snRNA from 1 species
GGCGAUAAGCGAAAGCUUUUUCG